CCCUUAGAUGUUCUGGGCCGCACGCGCGCUACACUGACGGAGGCAGCGAGCGUGUCCUUCGCCGGCAGGUGCGGGCAAUCUUGCGAGUCUCCGUCGUGCUGGGGAUAGAUGGUUGCAAUUGUAGAUCUUGAACGAGGAAUUCCUAGUAAGCGCGAGUCAUCAGCUCGCGCUGAUUACGUCCCUGCCCUUUGUACACACCGCCCGUCGCUACUACAGAGUGCCCGUGUCCAAGAAACGGUCGGACCUGUGCGGCCUCUCCGGGCGACCGGAGGGCCGUUACGGGGAAGACCCUUUAUUUGACGCGGGUCGAUGAAGUAAAAGUCGUAACA
rnacentral:rRNA from 1 species